AACGUGCUCCGGGGUCGGUGAGAAUCCGAACCGGCGGUGACAGUCCGCGAGCGUCUCGGUACUUCCGGGAUGCCGAUCCGGUGGAAUUCCGGGACCGACGGUGAUGUGAGGGAGACCUCGCUAGUCCGGAAGGGAGGCAGCACGGG
rnacentral:ncRNA from 2 species